rnacentral:rRNA from 1 species
AGAGUUUGAUCCUGGCUCAGGAUGAACGCUAGCGGGAGGCCUAACACAUGCAAGCCGAGCGGGAUUCGGUAAUUAGCUUGCUAAUUAUUGAUGAGAGCGGCGUACGGGUGCGGAACACGUGUGCAACCUGCCUUUAUCUGGGAGAUAGCCUUUCGAAAGGAAGAUUAAUAUCCCAUAAUAUAUUUGCUGGCAUCAGUAGAUAUUGAAAGCUCCGGCGGAUAAAGAUGGGCACGCGCAAGAUUAGAUAGUUGGUGAGGUAACGGCUCACCAAGUCAGUGAUCUUUAGGGGGCCUGAGAGGGUGAUCCCCCACACUGGUACUGAGACACGGACCAGACUCCUACGGGAGGCAGCAGUGAGGAAUAUUGGACAAUGGGUGAGAGCCUGAUCCAGCCAUCCCGCGUGAAGGAAUAAGGUCCUAUGGAUUGUAAACUUCUUUUGUAUAGGGAUAAACCUAUCUACGUGUAGAUAGCUGAAGGUACUAUACGAAUAAGCACCGGCUAACUCCGUGCCAGCAGCCGCGGUAAUAC